GAACAAUUCGUCGAUUGCUGCUAUCAUCCGCUAGUGAGGAGUUAACGGGUUUGCAGAUCAAAUCCACCACUUCAUUUCUAUCCAUAUAUAUGCAUAUUAGUAUAUAUUUUUUAUUUUAUCUCGAAUCUUCUGAGCUGAUUCAAGGUAUGUGCGUGCAUUCUCCUUUAUCACUUCCUUCCGAUUCUUAAUCUUUAGCUUGAUCUGAGUGUUUUUUUAUAAUGAUUUCAUAGUAAUUUGCGGUGGAAUGUAAAGUAUAUUUGGGUUUAGAGGGCUUUGAAAUGAAAUGUGAUGUAUUUAGUUGUUUAGGUUAUGUGCUUUCUGUUCAGAUCUGUUCUAUUUCCAUUUGUAUGUUUUUAAGCAUUUCUUUGUUUUUGUAUGUUUUUCCUGCUAUAGUUUCUUAAUCUUCGUACUUAUUUAAUUUAUUAAAUCUCUCCCUCCUUAUUUUUUCUAUUGAAUUUAAUUUUUAAUUUUCAAAAUGGGCUAGUUAUCCGUUCAGAGAGGGAGAAAAUCGAAGGGAAGAAGUGUUUACCAUUUUUGAAAUAAUGUUUUCACACAUUAUUUUAGGAAGGGUUGAGUGAGAGUUUUGCUGGAUAAAGUUUCUAUCUUAGAAGUUUUAUAACAAUUUGUUGGCUGUCAAUCAGUGCUAAAGUAAUUGAUCUACUGGGUUGCUUGCCCUUUUAAUGCUGAACUAAUUGAUCUGAUAAUUGUGUAUCAUGCAGAAGAGACACUGCCAUGUCAAUAUUCAAAUAAUAACUUGUUAAUUUACUUGAACUUGAACUAAACCUAAAUAUUUAAUUUCAAAAUCCUUUAAUGGAACCCUUUUGUUCCCUGCUAUUAAUGUCAAUGACUCUGUCACUAAGAGCAAGGUACAUUCAGAUCUGAUUUUAUGUAGUUAUGUUGUUGAAUUAUAUUCCUAUAAUGUUGGAUUUACUUUAGAUCUGUUGUUUAUUAGUUACUUAUGUUUAAUUGGUGUUUCAGUUUACUAACAGUGAUGCAUUAGAUCUUGGACAUGUUAUUGGCUUACAAGUAUAAUUUGUUUUCAUAAUAUUACAAUAAUUUAUACAGUAUCUGGAGUUCAAGAUCUGAGAUGGGUAGUUUAGAUUUUGCUCCAAAAUUGUAAUUAUGAAAAGUAUGUUGAGACUCUUUGCAAAAGUAUGUUUUUGAGGACAAGCAGAGCAGAAGAUUCAUGUGCUACUUGCAUGUNN
rnacentral:lncRNA from 1 species